AUUGAACGCUGGCGGCAUGCCUUACACAUGCAAGUCGAACGGCAGCACGGAAGCAAUCCUGGUGGCGGGUGGCGAACGGGUGAGUAAUGUAUCGGAACAUAUCCGGAAGUGGGGGAUAACGUAGCGAAAGUUACGCUAAUACCGCAUAUGCCCUGAGGGGGAAAGGAGGGGAUCGUAAGACCUUUCGCUUUCGGAGUGGCCGAUAUCAGAUUAGCUAGUUGGUGAGGUAAAGGCUCACCAAGGCGACGAUCUGUAGCUGGUCUGAGAGGACGACCAGCCACACUGGGACUGAGACACGGCCCAGACUCCUACGGGAGGCAGCAGUGGGGAAUUUUGGACAAUGGGGGCAACCCUGAUUCAGCCAUGCCGCGUGAGUGAAGAAGGCCUUCGGGUUGUAAAGCUCUUUCAGCUGGAAAAAAAUCGCCAUUCCUAAUACGAGUGGUGGAUGAUGGUACCAGCAGAAGAAGCACCGGCUAACUACGUGCCAGCCGCCGCAGUAA
rnacentral:rRNA from 1 species